rnacentral:rRNA from 2 species
GCUGACGACAAUAGCAUGAUGGCACCACCUGAUCCCUUCCCGAACUCAGAAGUGAAACAUCAUUGCGCCAAUGGUAGUGUGG